UACGUAGGGGGCUAGCGUUGUCCGGAAUCAUUGGGCGUAAAGCGCGUGUAGGCGGUCCGGUAAGUCCGCUGUGAAAGUCGGGGGCUCAACCCUCGGAUGCCGGUGGAUACUGUCGGGCUUGAGUACGGAAGAGGCGAGUGGAAUUCCCGGUGUAGCGGUGAAAUGCGCAGAUAUCGGGAGGAACACCAAUGGCGAAGGCAGCUCGCUGGGACGGUACUGACGCUGAGACGGCGAAAGCGUGGGGAGCAAACAGG
rnacentral:rRNA from 1 species